CCCGCAGCCCCUCUGCAUUGCAGGGCUGGGAGUUUGUCUUUAAUUGUGCCGGGCUGUGCUAACGAAGGGAUUAAGGCCUGGGAGGGCGAGCCGUGCCGGCCAAAUUCCCUUCCAAAUUCCCCUCCCUGCUCCAAGGACUGUUUUGUAACGCUCUCCUUUCAUUCCUUCAUCCCUGCCUGGAGCAUCCCGCACUGGGAUCCGGAUCUGAGCCGCUGCUGGGGCUGGGCCAUGAGUCCCCAGCAGCUGCUGAGCCUUCCCAAGGACUGAGGGGUGAGGGAGCUCCUGGAUGGGGCUGGGCACUCCCUGGAUGGAGCUGGGCACUCCCUGGAUCGCCCCUGGGCAGCUGGGAAUGUUCCAGAGGGAUGGGGAUGGGCUCAGGACAGGGCAGAGCUGGGGGAUGCUCUGUCUCCUGCUCCCUGCUGGAUCCCAGGGAGCUGCUCCAUCCUCGGGAUCCUCAGCUGCUCCAUCUCCAGCUGCUCCAUCCUUGGGAUCCUCAGCUGCUCCAUCCUCGGGAUCCUCAGCUGCUCCAUCCUUGGGAUCCUCUCCUCUCCAGCCCUGGAGAGCCGGAGCCCAGCUCGGUGACGGGGCUGUGUGGGCACAGCCUGGCCCUGCUCCUGUCCCCACGCAGCUGCAGCCAGGAGCUCUGGGCUCGCCCAGGAGCCGAUCCCGAGGGGUUGCCCAUGGAAUAGGCGCUUUUCCAGGUGCCUGGGCACACGAGAGGCUGAAGUUGGUCGCCCCGGGGCACCCGAACCUGCCCUGCCCUGGAGCCCCCGGCCUCUGCCAUGAAUGAUGCAUCCACCAUGGAUUAUGAACUGCUCUCCCCGUCCCUGGUGGAGCACCCCGCCGGCGCCGCGGGCAUGGAUGCCGAGCAGAAAACUGUCUUUGCCUUCGUCAUCUUCCUCCUGGUGUUCCUGGUGAUGCUGAUGGUGCGCUGCUUCCGCAUCCUGCUGGACCCCUACAGCCGCAUGCCCGCCUCCUCCUGGACGGACCACAAGGAGGGCUUGGAGCGGGGCCAGUUCGACUACGCCCUGGUGUGAGGGGAGCCCGGGCCGAGCUCCGGCCCCGCUCCCCCUCCAUCCCUCCCUCCUUCCCUCCCUCCCUCCGCAGGGAUGCUCCGGGCAGGGGGGCAAGCAGGGGGUCCGGCCCCGGGGAGGUUUUCUAGGGGUUUCUCUCUUUUCUAAGCACUUUUCAGUUCUCUCGGCAGCCCGCGGGACGCUGGGGGUUGGACGGGGGGCCUGGACGGGGACCCCGCUGCCCCCCGUGCCCCCGGGCACCGCGGACGGGGCAUGGCGGGACCUGCCCUCGGCCCGCGGGGCCCCUGGGCUGGGCUCUGCCCGGUGCCAGGCCCGAGCUUUGACCCCCGUGCCCCCGCUGCCCCCCGUGCCCCCGGCAGUGCCCCCGUGGUCAGUGCGUGUCUGUGUGUCCUGUAGCUGAGCUGUGUCCCUCAGGGGUUUCUCGGCACCGGCCCCCAGUGCUGGCUUUGUUCCCCCUCUGUGCCACUCCCGAGCCCCCCAAAAGGGAGGGGAGGGUGGAGACCCCCCCUGUGCAGCCCCCCUUGGCCUCCGGCCCUGUCCCUGCCCAGCUGGUGACACCGGGCUGGGCGAGGGGCAGUCCUGGCCUGGGGACACCAGGACGGGUCAGGGGUCCCCAAAACACCCGGGAGAGGCUCCUGGGGCAUCUCUGCCGGGGUGUCCGGCCCUUCCCGGGCUCUCCCAGGGCUCUGGAAGUGGCCGAGGGGCUGCCAAGGGCCGUGGUGGGCAGCGGGAGGGCCCUGCCAAGGGAUUUGGGCCCGGGGGGGAGGGAGAACCUCGCCCCCCUCCAUGGACGUGAAGGGAUUUGGAAAUAAAGCCGCACCGUGCCGACCCCAGC
rnacentral:lncRNA from 14 species